GCAGGCUCAAAUUAUGACAUUUUAGCAUGACAAAUUCAACUGGAAUCACUCAAGUUGUGAAAGGCAAAGAACUUUCAAGAUUAUUGAGUAAAUCCAAAAUGACUCUAGAUCAGUCCAACCAUCAAAGUCCCACAAUCGUAAAAGUAACUUGCCUAGAAGGAUAAUGAAUGUUGUCAACAUAACCCUUAGGAUAGUUGUCUUGGUAAAGGGGUGUAGAAGGCCCACCGUUGUGAUAAUAGUUUAUGGGGUGGGUGUAGGCAUAGAAGAUUUUACAAGGUUCAUACAUGAUGUUAAGGGAAGUGCCAUGACAAAUAGUGACGGAGUCAGCACCUGUUGAGGGGGUGUGGCCGUGCGGCCUGACUCUAACGAAGUCGACGUCGCCAGUUGGGAGAGGAGCCACAACCAUGGCGGAAAUGAAUCAGAAAUCACAAGCUGGGGGUUGCAAAUGAUAGACUCAAGAUUGGACCCUUUUUUUUUUUUUUUUUAAUACAAGAGGCCUAAUAACAGAAAAGAGAGAGACCCAAGUCCAACCAAAUGCCCAAUCUUAUAAGUUAUAUGGGAUCAAAUGCAAUCGGCUUCCAUUUUGCAAAAUGCAAACCCUAUCCCUUUGAAGUCUCAAAAGUCACACCUACUACCCAGCGUCCCACUUCCCAAUCACCCAGCCUUACCCUACUGUCGGCCGUCAACUGUCGAUGAAGCUAGCCUCUCCGCCUCCAGUCUUUCGCUAUUGGUCUUCAGUUAUUGAGUGAUGGUAUAGUAUCAUCUGUUGCAAACUGAAGCUAAUCCUUUGCGCCUUCUCUGUCUCAAGCCAUCUGAUUUCAAAUACAGAAGAUCUAUGCGGCAGUGCGAUGAUAGAUAGUAGAUAUAAAAAUAAUUUUUUUAUUAUAUCUGUAAUAACAGAACUAACAUACAUUUCUAUAAGCAGUAUUAUUACAUUCAACUCAAUCCUAAAUAUAUCUGUAUCAUUUCCUAUAAUGGAGAAUGUAAUAAAUGUACAACUUUUCAUUCCCCUCAAA